rnacentral:rRNA from 1 species
UAGGGAAUAUUGCGCAAUGGUCGAAAGACUGACGCAGCGACGCCGCGUGUGGGAGGAAGCCCCUCGGGGUGUAAACCACUGUCAGGGGGGACGAACGGCGCACGUUCGAAUAGGGCGUGCGUUUGACGGUACCCUCAGAGGAAGCGCCGGCUAACUCCGUGCCAGCAGCCGCGGUAAGACGGAGGGCGCAAGCGUUGUUCGGAAUUACUGGGCGUAAAGCGCGGGCAGGUGGUCUGUUAAGUCUUUUGUGAAACUCCGGGGCUCAACUCCGGACAUGCAGAAGAUACUGGCGGACUGGAGACCGGUAGAGGCUAGCGGAAUUCCUGGUGUAGCGGUGGAAUGUGUAGAUAUCAGGAAGAACACCGGUGGCGAAGGCGGCUGGCUGGGCCGUGUCUGACACUCAUCCGCGAAAGCGUGGGGAGCAAACAGG